GGCAGACCAGACUGCAGAUGGAGGUGUGUCCAGACUGCAGAUGGGGUGUGUCCAGACGCAGAGGAAGUGUGACCAGACUGCCAAUGGAGGUGUGUCCAGACUGCAGAUGGAGGAGUUGGAGGUCUCAGAGUCAGAUGGGGGUGUGUCCAGACUGCAGAUGGGGUUGUGUCCAGACUGCAGAUGGAGGUGUGUCCAGACUACAGAUGGAGGUGUGACCAGACUCAUGGGGGUGUGUCCAGUCUACAGACGGGUGUGUGUCCAGACUACAGAUGGGGGUGUGACCAGACUGCAGAUGGAGGUGUGUCCAGACUACAGAUGGGGGUGUGUCCAGGCUCAUGUGUUGACGGUGUUGGCUGCCGUCAGAGAGCUGCAAACUGAGAAUCUGGUCUCUGCAUCAGGACCUCUGGACUGUCACACUCAACACCUGCCAGGUGGACACAGAACACACAGAACACACACACACAACACACACACACACACACACACAAUACACAGAACACACACACACACCAACACAGAAUACACAAAACACAGAAACACACACACACACACACACAGAAUACACACACACACACAACACACAGAACACACACACAAACAGAACACACACACACAGAACCACACAGAACACACACACACACACAGAACACACACGCAGAACACACAGAUCAAACACAACACCAGAACACACACAGAACACCACACACAGAACACACCACAGAACCAACACACAGAACACAAACAGAACACACACACACAGAACACACACACAGAACACCACACACACAGAACACACACACAGAACACACACACAGAACACACACACAAACAUAACACACACACACACAAACCACACACACACAGAACACACACACACAUAUAUAUCUCAGUUCAUUUAUACAUCAGUCUAUCUCCUCUCAGUCUAUCAAUAUUCACCAAUGUUUUAGUCUGUUUUGAAACUUUUAAAAACCAAUAUGAAGCCAAUACAUGAAAGUAACCCCCCCCCCCCCCCCCCCCCCCCCCCCCCACCCCCCCCCCCCCCCCCCCCUCUCUGAAAAAGCGUAAAAC
rnacentral:lncRNA from 1 species